AGAUGCCUCAGGACUGGCCUUGAUUAUCUACUGUUAAAUCGAAUGCACGCACACACCGGCAUACAAUGAGGCUACACGUUGAAUGUUGAAAUAUUGCCAAAUCAUGGCUUUGAAGUAAAUAAAUUUCCACGCCACCGCUC